AAAAACAAGACAAACAUUGAACUGAGAAGUCUGCAGGAUCACGGCUGGACAGCUCAACUGACUGAUUAAACAUUACUUUUAGAUUCUUUCUAAAAGCUAUGCAUAAAACAAAUAAAUCAGCACAUACCUCCCAAUGAAGGUAAUGGUCAGUAGCGUCAUAAUCAGUAGGAAUAGAGACUGCAUGGACAGAAAUCUGCUAUUCCUGAGAGCUUUAAUGGUAUGAUCAGCUUUCAAAGAUUUCAGAGGUCCUGGUAUCCUGUUCCAAACGACAUUGGUGGGCACGCCAGCUCAUACCGUCCCACAAGGUCCAUCCAGAAUUUGUUCCAUUCUUGGCAAAUAAUUUCCCAACCCGUUUCUCAAAUCAAGUGAGGCAUUUGCAUUAUAUUGUCGUUUGAAACGAAUAUAAGAGCUUUAUUUAGAAAGCAUGAAAUCAGAUUUGAAAAAUUUUCAAAACUGCAGGGUCUAUAGCUGAUACACUACUUAUCACCUACCUUUGGCCACCCUUCAGUACCACCCCACCAAACAUCAAUAGCUGAUACUCAAACACCAUUCCUAUCAAUCCUCCGUGACCACCGGCCUAUAUUCCGUUCCAAACAAGACUGCAGGGUCUAUACUG